rnacentral:rRNA from 1 species
GAUGAACGCUGGCGGCGUGCAUAACACAUUCAAGUCGAACGAGAAUCUUGGUGCUUGCACCGAGAGGAAAGUGGCGGACGGGUGAGUAACGCGUGAGCAACCUGCCUUAGUGAGGGGGAUAACACAGGGAAACUUGUGCUAAUACCGCAUAAUGUAUCGACAUCGCAUGGUGAUGAUACCAAAGCUCCGACGCACUAAGAUGGGCUCGCGUCUGAUUAGAUAGUUGGCAGGGUAACGGCCUACCAAGUCGACGAUCAGUAGCCGGACUGAGAGGUUGAACGGCCACAUUGGAACUGAGAUACGGUCCAGACUCCUACGGGAGGCAGCAGUGGGGAAUAUUGGGCAAUGGGCGAAAGCCUGACCCAGCGACGCCGCGUGAAGGAAGAAGGUCUUCGGAUUGUAAACUUUAGUCAACAGGGACGAACAAAUGACGGUACCUGUGGAGGAAGCCACGGCUAACUACGUG